CCCGGGCAAGUCUUACACAACCAGCUCCUAAUGAAUCCCCCAGGGCGGGAACGCAGCAAGGGUAAUUGGUUGUAGCGGUGUGAUGUGAGUAGCUUGCCCG
rnacentral:SRP_RNA from 1 species